rnacentral:rRNA from 1 species
UACAGAGGUGGCAAGCGUUGUUCGGAAUUACUGGGCGUAAAGGGCGCGUAGGCGGCCCGUCAAGUCCCGUGUGAAAGCCCCCGGCUCAACCGGGGAACGGCGCGGGAAACUAGCAGGCUUGAGUUCGGGAGAGGGAAGCGGAAUUCCGGGUGUAGCGGUGAAAUGCGCAGAUAUCAGGAGGAACACCGGUGGCGAAGGCGGGUCUCUGGGCUAUAACUGACGCUCAUGCA